UACAGAGACUGCAAGCGUUAUUCGAAUUCACUGGGCGUAAAGGGUGCGCAGGCGGCCAAGUGUGUGAGGCGUGAAAGCCCGGGGCUUAACCCCGGAAUUGCACCUCAAACUACAUGGCUAGAGCAUUGGAGAGGGUAGCGGAAUUCACGGUGUAGCAGUGAAAUGCGUAGAUAUCGUGAGGAACACCAGAGGCGAAGGCGGCUACCUGGACAAUUGCUGACGCUCAGGCACGAAAGCGUGGGGAGCAAAAGGG
rnacentral:rRNA from 1 species